AAGAACCUUACCUGGUCUUGACAUCCACAGAACUUUCCAGAGAUGGAUUGGUGCCUUCGGGAACUGUGAGACAGGUGCUGCAUGGCUGUCGUCAGCUCGUGUUGUGAAAUGUUGGGUUAAGUCCCGCAACGAGCGCAACCCUUAUCCUUUGUUGCCAGCGGUUAGGCCGGGAACUCAAAGGAGACUGCCAGUGAUAAACUGGAGGAAGGUGGGGAUGACGUCAAGUCAUCAUGGCCCUUACGACCAGGGCUACACACGUGCUACAAUGGCGCAUACAAAGAGAAGCGACCUCGCGAGAGCAAGCGGACCUCAUAAAGUGCGUCGUAGUCCGGAUUGGAGUCUGCAACUCGACUCCAUGAAGUCGGAAUCGCUAGUAAUCGUGGAUCAGAAUGCCACGGUGAAUACGUUCCCGGGCCUUGUACACACCGCCCGUCACACCAUGGGAGUGGGUUGCAAAAGAAGUAGGUAGCUUAACCUUCGGGAGGGCGCUUACCACUUUGUGAUUCAUGACUGGGGUGAAGUCGUAACAAGGUAACCGUAGGGGAACCUGC
rnacentral:rRNA from 1 species